UACCAGCACCCCGAGUGGUCGGGACGUUUAUUGGGCCUAAAGCCUCCGUAGCCGGUUCUACAAGUCUUCCGUUAAAUCCAACUGCUUAACAGGUGGGCUGCGGAAGAUACUAUAGAGCUAGGAGGCGGGAGAGGCAAGCGGUACUCGAUGGGUAGGGGUAAAAUCCGUUGAUCCAUUGAAGACCACCGGUGGCGAAAGCGCUCUGCUGGACCUUAACUGACACUGAGGGACGAAAGCUAGGGGAGCGAAUGGG
rnacentral:rRNA from 1 species